AGCAGAUGACCUGUACUUCUCUGCUCUCUCCCCUACUGCAAAGAGGCAGUGAGGGCAGCAUUAGUAAGCCUGACUCAGGGGAAGGUAAGUGGCCUGCAGAGAAAUGGUCCUAGGUCCGCAACCGAGGCGAGUGAACUUGUCGGACAGAUGAAGACUCUAACUGGAAGAAACGAUCAGCGCAUUCACGGAUGCACCACCAUCCAGAAAUCUCCCGGUGGCUUCCAUACAAAAACUGAUGUUUCUAAAGAUGGAAAGAACAGGUCUAGGAGGCAGAAGAGUAUCUCCUAGCAAAGUGUUCUGUAGCUCAAAGGAUGAACACCACAGACGGGGUAAAUGAUUUGCCUAAAGUCACACAGCUCGUAAGGGCCAGAGCCCACACUUUCAUCCACUAGCCUAUAUUCUGUGCUGUCAUCACUGAUAGCAGUGACUGAGACUGAGAGACAAAGUCACUUAAGAGCUGAUGGCUGCCCUGCGCACCUCACCUUUGCUGUUGCUGACUUCAGAGGAAUUGGCUGUAGAGACAAUACCAGCCGGGUCAAGAGCUGCAGAGCCCGGAGAAUCAGUAAGAAUAUCUAUGAUGAAAAGGAAGAACAUAGUUAUCCUAAGAAAGUAAUUAAAGAUGUAAUGAGUUCA
ensembl:lncRNA XPC-AS1 XPC antisense RNA 1